rnacentral:rRNA from 1 species
CGUAGGUGGAUAUUUAAGUGGGAUGUGAAAUACUCGGGCUUAACCUGGGUGCUGCAUUCCAAACUGGAUAUCUAGAGUGCGGGAGAGGAAAGUAGAAUUCCUAGUGUAGCGGUGAAAUGCGUAGAGAUUAGGAAGAAUACCAGUGGCGAAGGCGACUUUCUGGACUGUAACUGACACUGAGGCUCGAAAGCGUGGGGAGCAAACA